GACAACGCUGGCGGCGUGCCUAACACAUGCAAGUCGAACGGGGGUAUUUAUUUCGAUGAAUACCUUAGUGGCGAACGGGUGAGUAACGCGUGAGCAACCUAUCCUUAAGACGGGGGAUAACAUCUGGAAACAGAUGCUAAUACCGCAUAAGACCACACUGCCGCAUGGCAGAGGGGUCAAAGGAGCAAUCCGUUUAAGGAGGGGCUCGCGUCCCAUUAGAUAGUUGGUGAGGUAACAGCUCACCAAGUCAGCGAUGGGUAGCCGAGCUGAGAGGCUGAUCGGCCACACUGGAACUGAGACACGGUCCAGACUCCUACGGGAGGCAGCAGUGGGGAAUAUUGGGCAAUGGGGGGAACCCUGACCCAGCAACGCCGCGUGAGGGAAGAAGGCCUUCGGGUUGUAAACCUCUGUCAUUAGGGAAGAAGAAAGUGACGGUACCUAAUGAGGAAGCCCCGGCUAACUACGUG
rnacentral:rRNA from 1 species